rnacentral:rRNA from 1 species
GAAUGCUGACAUAAGUAACGAUAAAGCGGGUGAAAAGCCCGCUCGCCGGAAGACCAAGGGUUCCUGUCCAACGUUAAUCGGGGCAGGGUGAGUCGACCCCUAAGGCGAGGCCGAAAGGCGUAGUCGAUGGGAAACGGGUUAAUAUUCCCGUACUUGGUGUUACUGCGAAGGGGGGACGGAGAAGGCUAUGUUGGCCGGGCGACGGUUGUCCCGGUUUAAGCGUGUAGGUGUGUGUUCCAGGUAAAUCCGGUUCACUUUAACACUGAGGCGUGAUGACGAGGCACUACGGUGCUGAAGCAACAAAUGCCCUGCUUCCAGGAAAAGCCUCUAAGCAUCAGGUAACAUCAAAUCGUACCCCAAACCGACACAGGUGGUCAGGUAGAGAAUACCAAGGCGCUUGAGAGAACUCGGGUGAAGGAACUAGGCAAAAUGGUGCCGUAACUUCGGGAGAAGGCACGCUGACACGUA